rnacentral:rRNA from 1 species
GACGAACGCUGGCGGCGUGCUUAACACAUGCAAGUCGAACGGAAAGGCCCUGCUUUUGUGGGGUGCUCGAGUGGCGAACGGGUGAGUAACACGUGAGUAACCUGCCCUUGACUUUGGGAUAACUUCAGGAAACUGGGGCUAAUACCGGAUAGGAGCUCCUGCUGCAUGGUGGGGGUUGGAAAGUUUCGGCGGUUGGGGAUGGACUCGCGGCUUAUCAGCUUGUUGGUGGGGUAGUGUCUUACCAAGGCUUUGACGGGUAGCCGGCCUGAGAGGGUGACCGGCCACAUUGGGACUGAGAUACGGCCCAGACUACUACGGGAGGCAGCAGUGGGGAAUAGUGCACAAUGGGCGGAAGCCUGGUGCAGCAACGCCGCGUGCGGGAUGACGGCAUUCGGGUUGUAAACCGAUUUCGCCUGUGACGAAGCGUGAGUGACGGUAAUGGGUAAAGAAGCACCGGCUAACUACGUG